rnacentral:lncRNA from 1 species
CUCAGCAUCCCAAACGGUAACAUGUGACAUAAUCAUAGUUCAAGAAUCAAAACUGGUGAAUUAACAUUGACCAAUACUGUUAAACUAAGCUACAGACCUUAAAUGUUACCAAAUGUGUCAGCAAAUGUUCGUUUUCUGGUCCAGGAUCCAAUCCAAGACCCCACAGUUUCUUUGAUUCUGAUACCAAUUGAGACUCUUCUCAUCUCUGACAGGUCCUCAGUCUUCCUUUGUCUUUCAUGACCUUGACACUUUUGAAGAGUACAGGUUAGUUAUUUUGCAGACAGUCCCAAUUCAGGAUUGCCUGAUGUUUCUUCAUGAUUAGAUUCAGAUUGUGCUUUUUUUUUUGCCAGGAGACCACAGCAGUGACAUUGUGUCCUUCUCAGUGCAGUGUAUCAAGAGGAACAUGAUGGUCAUUCCUGGCAAUGUCCACUUUUAUCACAUGAUUAAGCCGAACAGCGAUGAUUUGUGGAAGGACGUUGAUAACCAGUAGGCAGACCCUGCUCUCGAGUGCACAACCCCAGCAACCAGUCAGCAACAGUGGACAGAAAGGGAAGCAGCCCUUUUCAGGAGACAAUGCAACUCAACAAAGUGCUUAUCAGGCCUUCCUCAUCCUUAAGCACUGUCCGAAUGCAACACAGCAGAUGGGAAAAGUAACGAGACCACUGAACCAAAGAUGGGGAGAAGAAAGGUGGCAUUCCUCAGACAGUGAACAGGGAGAGGAGAAAGAGGUUUCAAGAUGAGCUGCAAGGCUCUGAGAUUCACUUCACAUGGCUCCCUGCCUAUGCUGAUGCAGGAAGGCCCGGGAAAGAAUGUCUGGAUGAAGAAGCAGCAGGUGAUUCCCGACUGAGGAGGGAGGAAAAAGCCAAAUGAAAUGAGGGAGCUGUAGUCAAGGAGGGGAGGAAGCCGAGGACGGCAAGGCCUCUCAAUCAUCGCUUACCAGGGACAGAGGGAUGGCUGCCAUUAUCCCUUCUCACCACGACAAAUGAAAGACGAUGAUACCUAAGAAACUGCCGCAGCCACACAGAGCGGCAGGAGGCGAGGGUUUGCCUGGUGAAAGCCAAACGGCAGCCCUGCUCUUUUGCAGCCUCCUAUGGGACAUCAUGGCGAGCAGUGACGGAUGGAGAAAAUGCAGCAUCCCUGCCGGGCAGGACAGCAGCCUCAGGCCAGGGCUCUGGAGGAUGGACAGGCAGACCCCACGGCCCAGGAUCCAGGAAGGCCCUCUGCCAGGCUGUGGCUCCAGGAAGGCCCUCUGCCAGGCUGUGGCUGAGAGUGGCCUGGCCUGGGGCAUGGCUGCAGAUGCCGCCCCACCCGCCAGCCGCAGGGCUGGGGGCCGGCACAGAUUACAUUUUAAGGUGAUAGUCAUCUUUGACCUUUGGGACCUCCAGGGCCACUGGUCAUCCAUCUUAGAGCCGCUGACCAGCAACCUCUGGGCUAUUUUUAUGGCCGGCAAACAUUGCCCAUUGAUUGAAUUGAUUGAAAUCUGCAUCUGGUUCUUGGGGAAAGGACACUGGCCUCACAGCCGCAAUAUGCAGCUUCGUUUUCUGUUGUUGUCUUUGAC